rnacentral:rRNA from 1 species
GAUGAACGCUGGCGGCGUGCCUAAUACAUGCAAGUCGAGCGAACAGACGAGGAGCUUGCUCCUUUGACGUUAGCGGCGGACGGGUGAGUAACACGUGGAUAACCUACCUAUAAGACUGGGAUAACUUCGGGAAACCGGAGCUAAUACCGGAUAACAUGUUGAACCGCAUGGUUCAACAGUGAAAGACGGUCUUGCUGUCACUUAUAGAUGGAUCCGCGCCGCACUAGCUAGUUGGUAAGGUAACGGCUUACCAAGGCAACGAUGCGUAGCCGACCUGAGAGGGUGAUCGGCCACACUGGAACUGAGACACGGUCCAGACUCCUACGGGAGGCAGCAGUAGGGAAUCUUCCGCAAUGGGCGAAAGCCUGACGGAGCAACGCCGCGUGAGUGAAGAAGGUCUUCGGAUCGUAAAACUCUGUUAUUAGGGAAGAACAAAUGUGUAAGUAACUAUGCACGUCUUGACGGUACCUAAUCAGAAAGCCACGGCUAACUACGUG